CCUACGGGUGGCUGCAGUGAGGAAUAUUGGUCAAUGGACGCAAGUCUGAACCAGCCAUGCCGCGUGCAGGAAGACGGCUCUAUGAGUUGUAAACUGCUUUUGUACGAGGGGAAACGCAGAUACGCGUAUCGGUCUGAAAGUAGCGUACGAAGAAGGAUCGGCUAACUCCGUGCCAGCAGCCGCGGUAAUACGGAGGAGUCAAGCGUUAUCCGGAUUUAUUGGGUUUAAAGGGUGCGUAGGCGGUCGGAUAAGUUAGAGGUGAAAUCCCGAGGCUCAACUUCGGAAUUGCCUCUGAUACGGUUCGGCUAGAGCGUAGUUGCGGUAGGCUGAAUGUCUGGUGUCGCUG
rnacentral:rRNA from 1 species